rnacentral:rRNA from 1 species
CAAUAGCGUAUAUUUAAGUUGUUGCAGUUAAAAAGCUCGUAGUUGGAUUUCGGGUGGGACGCAGCGGUCUCGCAUUGCGUUUGUACUGCUGCAGCCCUCCUUCUUGCCGGGGGCGGCCUCUCGGACUUCACUGUCUGGGGGUCAGAAUCGGCGAUGUUACUUUGAGUAAAUUAGAGUGUUCAAAGCAAGCUUACGCUCUGAAUAUAAUAGCAUGGGAUAACACGACAGGACUCUGGCCUAUCGUGUUGGUCUAUAGGACCAGAGUAAUGAUUAAGAGGGACAGUUGGGGGCAUUCGUAUUUAACUGUCAGAGGUGAAAUUCUUGGAUUUGUUAAAGACGAACUACUGCGAAAGCAUUUGCCAGGGAUGUUUUCAUUA